AGCGAACGCUGGCGGCAGGCCUAACACAUGCAAGUCGAACGGAUCCUUCGGGAUUAGUGGCGGACGGGUGAGUAACACGUGGGAACGUGCCUUUUGGUUCGGAACAACUCAGGGAAACUUGAGCUAAUACCGGAUGUGCCCUUCGGGGGAAAGAUUUAUCGCCAUUAGAGCGGCCCGCGUCUGAUUAGCUUGUUGGUGAGGUAAAGGCUCACCAAGGCUACGAUCAGUAGCUGGUCUGAGAGGAUGAUCAGCCACACUGGGACUGAGACACGGCCCAGAAUCAUACGGGAGGCAGCAGUGGGGAAUCUUGCGCAAUGGGCGAAAGCCUGACGCAGCCAUGCCGCGUGAAUGAUGAAGGUCUUAGGAUUGUAAAAUUCUUUCACCGGGGACGAUAAUGACGGUACCCGGAGAAGAAGCUCCGGCUAACUUCGUGCCAGCCGCCGCUGUAACAC
rnacentral:rRNA from 1 species